GUGAGUUUUCACGUUCGUGCAAGACCAGUCGCCAUUUAAAACGCAUCGCAUUUCACUUUUCAUUAUUAAGUCGGAUUUUAAAUCGUGAGAAAAUUUCUCUGAAAUGUAUUGUCCGUUUUUAGGCUGUAAUCGGCAUUACUGUCAGCCAGUCAGCAACCUUAUGCCAUAAAGCCUACCUCACGCAGUGUCAGCCUUUGUGUUGCCCAUUCACUUUGGAAACUAGUGAAUGUGGUGUCAAAAAAGGCGUAAAUUAAACGCUUUGCAGCCUUUUCCUGCCCUUAAAUUUGAUACCUUUGGUGUAGGAGCUGCAUAAGUAACAGUUGCUGCUUUUACGUUUCCACGCGUGAUCUUGACCCUGCUAGCCUUAAGUGUAUGGUUUCUCUUAGCCAGU
rnacentral:lncRNA from 1 species